rnacentral:rRNA from 1 species
UACGUAGGGGGCAAGCGUUGUCCGGAAUCAUUGGGCGUAAAGAGCGUGUAGGUGGCUCGGUAAGUCCGCUGUGAAAGUCCAGGGCUCAACCCUGGAAAGCCGGUGGAAACUGUCGAGCUCGAGUCCGGAAGAGGCGAGUGGAAUUCCUGGUGUAGCGGUGAAAUGCCCAGAUAUCAGGAGGAACACCAAUGGCGAAGGCAGCUCGCUGGGACGGUACUGACACUGAGACGCGAAAGCGUGGGGAGCAAACAGG